rnacentral:rRNA from 1 species
UACAGAGGGGGCAAGCGUUGUUCGGAAUUACUGGGCGUAAAGGGCGCGUAGGCGGCCUGCUAAGUCGAACGUGAAAUCCCUGGGCUCAACCCAGGAACUGCGUCCGAUACUGGUUGGCUUGAAUCCGGGAGAGGGACGUGGAAUUCCAGGUGUAGCGGUGAGAUGCGUAGAUAUCUGGAGGAACACCGGUGGCGAAGGCGGCAUCCUGGACCGGUAUUGACGCUGAGGCGCGAAAGCCAGGGGAGCAAACGGG